UUUCUGAUGCUCUGUGAGAGUAUGCCUUUUCUAGAGGGCACUAAUAUGUUACUGCUGGGUCUGAGCAUGGGAGAAAUCUCAGCAGCAGCAUCUGUUGUGAGCACAAGCUCUCCUGUGUUCUCUGAUCUCUACAUUGGUUUACAGUAAACCGUAAUCACAUUCCUUCUCUUCAAGUACUGCACAGAUUUCUAUCCACAUAGAGCUUGUGGAUAAGCAAUGAGGUUUGCAGAAAAUAUAACUGAAGGACACUGCUGGAGUUUUUUUAAGACAUUGCAUUUCCCUGGGGUGCUGGUAUCAGACAUAGCCAACCCAGCUCAGUUCUGUAUGUCCUUGAGUGACAUGGUCUGUCUGGUUUGGAAGCUGGGCUCUCUACUCCAGGUGAAAGAAACUUGAACAAGACUGAAAACACAACUCAAACUUCAACUUCAUUGCCUUUUUAAGGCCAGACAUGCAGCUUUGAUCUUUUCCAGUCUAAUGUGCAGUAAAUGUUUAGUCUUACAUUAUCUCUGUCCUCCCUUUUUCUUCCUGCCUCUCUCUCCCCCUUUAGAGCUCUACAUCUCUUCUCAGGGUGAGGAAAAAAUAAGAUGACAGGUAUAAAUCCAGUAGGAUAUUCAAGUUCUGUAUUGACAAACUACAUCAAAGUGAAUCUACAUGCCAAAAAUAUGAGGAAAGCUGUUCUAGGAGAACAUGAGAUGCUGAGAAUACAUGGAGGAAGUACCACCCAAAGCUGAUCUUGUGCUCAUCCACAAGCAUCAGUUACUGCAGCUGUUAGCAAGAGGGCUGCACGAGAUGGGCUUCAGUGAGGCAAUACUGCUGGUCCUGUGUCUGCUCAAAUGCAAGAUGGAUUUCUCAUUUCUGCAAGUAGGACCGGUGCCCUGAAGGCAUUUCUACAUGAACUGUCACCUGUAAGGGGGCUGUUGCUUACCUGAUCCUUUGUGAAGAACAAUGCCAUGAAAUUUUUCUGAGACCUGCAUCUCUCUAUCAGAUCAGUGGGAUGAGAGAACAAGAGACACCUGCAGAGAGUGAUUCAUUCUGUGCCCAUCCAACACCUCUCUCAGGAUGGAACAAAUCUCCUCACUGGGGGCUGUUGCUCUCCAUCAGUUCUCAGCAGAAGAUAGACAAUCAAUUUCAACCUGAAGCCUGCCUUAUAGAUGACAAGUGAGGUGGAUUCCACUGUGGAUGACUAAUUUUUCUGAUUCAUCAUACCUGAAUUUAGCCUUUAAAAUUUGAGUAUGUAAUCAAAGUUAGUUGUUUGAGUUCUGUCUCUGUACCAUGCUCAUUCCUUCUAGCGGGAGGCUGGACAUGGGUGGCUGUGGUGAAAUGUCUUGGGAUGAAGUAUAUAUUUUGCUGAGCCUGUAGAUCCUAAAAGCCAUGUAUGCCCCUAGUUUGCACUUGUAAAUCCUGGUGCUGAAUGUCUCAAAUUUAAGUGUGGAACUAUUAAAUGUAAUUGUGCGAACUA